AAGGCCCUAAAAUUGGUUUUCUCUACCCUAAGAUACCAUCCCGCCACUCUCCUACGCUAGGUGUCUCUCUCGAUCUCUCUCUCUCUUUCUCACAUGGCCAUAAAAUGAAGAAGGCUUGGAUGAAUGGAAGGGUACAUACAGAGGCUUCUCUAGGAGACAUGAUUCGAACGGGGAUGAUGCGACGACAUCAUUAUUCGACGAUGUGCGACAAGGUGAUGGGGCUUGAGGCUUGGGGUGUGUGAUAGGGAGGUUGGGUCGUGGGUUCUACAGGGUGGCUUAGUCGUGGGUGUGAUGGUGCUCGCGGCGGUGGUUCGUGCGACGGGUUCGACUUCGGCAAGGUUGUACUGCAACAGAUGAUUUCUUCUAGGUUUGAUGAUUGUUUUGGGUUUUGUCUUGAUUUAUAUCUGAAAUUGAAAAUUUAAUCUUCAAACUUGUUUAGGGGAUUUCACUUUGAUUUCCUAAAGGCAUGUGAAGCGUGAAGAAAUUGAAGAUAAGGUUAUCUGGAUUACUGGUGCCGGUCGUGGAGUUGGUACUUAUAUAUAUAUAUUUACAUUUUUGUUUGAAACUUUCAUUUUCUGUAUGUUUACCGGUUAAUUGAACUAUAUUUUUGUUAUUUCUUAAUUAUUUUCUCUUACCAUGUUUAAAUUAGUUGAAUACUUUAUGUUAAUGCCACUUCAUUGGGCAAGGUUGAUAAAAUUUUGGGCUAUUCUUUUCUUAAAUGAUUAAAACACAUAUUUUAAAUAUUCUGAGUUGGGUUUCUCUUCAAGGUAAUUUAAAAAAAAAAACAAAAACAAAAACGUAUUGUUGCUUCAAUACCUUCACGUGUUCCUUUAUGCUGGUAGUUGUCACCACAAACGUGUCAAGAUUAUGAUAUACUCAUCAAAUUGGUUCGUGUUAAUAGAAUUAUUGUAAGCUGAAACAUAACGCACAAUUUAAUCUUUAUUAGAUUCAUUGCUGUUACUUAGCUUCACUGAGUGGAAAGGUACACUAGCAUGAAGAACUACCUUCUAUUGUGUUGAGCUAGUUUGAGGAUAAUGUAGAGCUUUGUUUUAGAGUUUAGGCAGUCUAAAAUAACUUAGGGGGUUCUAUGUAGAGCUUUAGUUUAGAUUUUAGGCAGUCUAAAAGUAAAGUCUUUUAUAAGCAUAUGAACUUUCAGAUAGGAUAAUAGUUUUUGUAAAUUGAGAUUACAGCUAGGAACUUAGCAUAUUUGUAAAUUGAGGCUCUUUGAUGAUCUUUUAUGAUAUUAUGCCAUUACACAUUGCAUUUUUAUCAUAAGUUGUCUCUGUAAGAUUAUCUAUUAUACUCGUGCCUAACUAAUCUUUGAGUGACAUUUGACUUUGUUGCAAAUGCUAUAUUACAAGAUGACCAUAUGUGUGGCCAUAUGUUUUUUCAUAGAGUAUGAGUUCAAAAAGAAUUUCAAGGGCUUUAUGUGGAUCUCCUUGAUCUAAGGUGUGAUUUCUACCAUGCUAUAUUAAGUUGAAUUAGAACAUGAAAAGAUGUUCAGUUCCAAUACAAUUCUUUAUUUAUUGGGUUAAAUAACAAUCUUAUUUAGAUGAAGGACCCUCUUUUAAAUUUGGAUACAAGCACACCUAUUUUCUCAAGCAAGUGUUGUUCCAAACUUUCAAUCCACAAAGUGUAAAAGAAGAAUUGACAUUUUUUAGUCAUGUUGUAUUUGGUAAAAGUGUUCAUUGUAGAUUUGUUGGAUUUCAUCUUUGUAAAAUUUUCGAGAUUGUUGAUAUCAGAUUUUUGAUCUUGUUGAUUGUUAUAGUCAAGUCUUUUAUUUGUUUGUUAAGUUUCUGUUUGGAGGCUGGUGAUUUCUAGACUGGCUUGAGUGGGUCUGUUUAGCAUACAUACAUAGUCGAACCACUUGCACUCUGUUGCCAAAUUAAUUGAUUGAUUCAUUUUGGGGAUUUUUAAGAGCUAUAAUGAAUUUUGGUUUGGAAAAAAGCUUGAAUGAGAUAUAUAUUUCAGUUUAAAUCACAUUAUGAUUUCUUUUAGAUAUGAAUUUUUUUGGUUUUUAUGUCUUGUAAUGAUUCUUAUAAAGCUUAUUUUAUUAUGUAUCUUUGUUGUUGAUGAUCUUAGAUAGAUAUGUGGUAUGAGAUUGUUACAGUAUCCAGUAUUAUGCUAAAGAGACUUGCAGAGCUCUUGUGUCUCAGUAUCGAGGAUGCUGAGAAGCAUCUUUCAUACAUAUAUUUGUUUGAAUUAUUUGAUGUUUAAGUUCUAUCUCUUUUGUAAGGAAAUAUAAGCAUUCACUGUUCUUUCACGGUCAUUUUUAGGACAUUUUGAAUAGCAGUUUUGUUUUACUUUUUACAUUUGCCUGAGAUAACUGUCGGAUUCUCAUAGAUUUAUUAUAUCUUUUGAUAAUGCCAAUCUUAGUCUUAAAAUGAAAUAUCAUGUAUUAUAUGUACUAGUCUUAAAUUUAUCAUGAGUUUCACAACCAUAUACAUAAGCUGUUUUAUAUCAAGAUAAUUUAAAUACAUUAAUAUUCAUUGAUCGCUGAAAAAUAGUUAUGCAUAUAUAGUAAUAUUAAUAUUCAUUGAUCACUGAAGAGGCAAGAUACUCUAAUACCAAUAGCAGCAGAGGACCUUAAUGAACAAUAUAUACUCUCUUAUGUUUUAGGAAAUAAAUACUUCUCUCCUCUCGGCUUUCAAAUUCUGUUAUUAUUAUUAAUAUUAUUAUUAUUAUUAUUGUUAUUGUUAUUGUUAUUGUUACUAUUAUUGAAGCCCUAAUUUUGCAGGUUUGAACAAGGUAUAUAUCAACCUAUUCAAAAUCAUGAUUUUGCUUUGCAAAUAGCAUUAUUAUAUACAGUAUAUGAUCUUUAAAAGGGAUUGUUAUUCGUUUUGCUUCAUGCUCUUGAUAUUGACACUCGGUGGGACAGUUUAAAAUAGAGGAUUGGGGAGUGGUAAACGUGGUCAGCAAGCUUCACAACUGCAAACUAAAGUCAUUGCUAUUAACUUCAUAUAUUGUUAUAUCUAUCCUUUUUUUUAUUUGCAUUUGAUAUUUUUUUAAGUAUAAUAUUUAGCUUCAUGCUUUCUCUUAAUUGUUUUUGUACUAGUUUAUAUGUUGCUAAUAUCAUUCAUUACAGAAAAAGGCCUCAUGAGCAAUAAGGUAUUUCAUAUACAAUAAAUAUCUUACUGUAUAUCGACUAAGCCUUUUGGAUUAUUUAAUGUUAUUUUUGUAUCUGUGCAAUCAAGAGAUUUCUAUUGGCAUGUAUUGCUUAUAUUGCGUGCUUAAAUUGAAUAUAUAGCUUCAUGGCUAGCGAAGCUAUUAUUACAACAUGGUUACACUAUGAAAGUAUUUGUUCGUGACCCAAGUUAGUUCUUAUUAUUAUCUUUGGUUUUUUAACUCAUUUUAUAUUCUCUUCGGAAAUCUACACAAACAACAUGUAGUUUUAAUUUUUGGUUUUUCAACUUUUCAUUCUUAAAUUUUAUUUUGCAGGCAUAACUCCUUGUACAUGCAGAUGAUUCAAAGAAAACACAACACUUGGUUGCACUAGAUGGCAAGUGAUGUUGUACACUAAGUUCAUGGUGCCAAAUUUCGACAAGAACUUGUGUUUUUUAGAUAUUAUGUGAAGUUUUACUAUUUUUUUUCAUACUUGUACACACUUUUAUUUUAGGGGAUACAUUCAUUACCUUUUACUUAUGAUAUAUGAUUAAGUAUUUUAUAUUUACACACCAUUUGUUUUUUAAUAUAAGUGGCUGAGGUUAAGGAUUA